rnacentral:tRNA from 1 species
GGAGCGGUGGCUGAGUGGUCUAAAGCGGCGGUUUGCUAAACCGUUGUAGGGGUAAAAUCCUACCGGAGGUUCGAAUCCUCUCCGCUCCG